rnacentral:lncRNA from 1 species
CUAGCUGCAAAACACAAUUUGAGGAAAUCAUGGUCGUGAACACAAACGCACAAGUCCAAGUCACACGAGCAGGCGAUGGAAGCCCGCAACAGGAAGGGGUGGGCAGAAGGCGGUGCGCAACAUACGUAUCGAGAACUUAUCGGCGAGGUGGGUGAGGUUGGCAAGACCGUCGGGCUCGUCGCCGCUCGCCGCUGCUGCCUUGCGAGUCCUCUAUGUUUCUGCUCUCUACGAAGACUCUCCUGGUUGUUGUGGUGGCUCCUGGACCCCUCCCAUCCGCGUGUCCACAGCCAGAGCUUGUCCGCUAGCGACUCCGCCGCCAACCCUAGGCAACACCCCUGCUGGUUGCGCCCUCGGCCGUGUCACCAAUCGGCAGAUGAAGGCCGCGGAGGUGCGGGCGCCUGGGACAAGGGGAGGAGCAUCGACGGGGUAGGCGGGGUGCGACGGCGUGGCAGGGGACGCGGCACGCGGCGGCGUGGCAAGGGUGGCGAUGCGCUGGAGAUGGAAGAUGGGACUGGGUGCCGGUCCUGGGUCGUGUCGUUGGGGGUUCUUUUUUGUGCUCGUAUCGGUUGUUGACUGAAUCAGGACUGUGGGUUUCGUUACCAUAAAAGAGGAGGGCCUUUUUAUAACAUACCACAAAAUAUGUAGCGAAAUUUCCAUUCAUUGUCAUGUAGGUCUUUUGCAAUGAGCUCCAGGCAUGGAGGCUGCAGAGAGAAAUCCUGUAGAAAAUUGAACGUGUCAUAUAUCUAAUUAACCCAAUUUAAAAUGCACAAAAUAUGACCAUUUCUUAUAAAUGGAUUGACAAAAACAAACUAAAUUUUACUGUACGUUACCAAUGGACGGAAGACUUCCUCAGCAGAACGUCGAGGAAGAGAAAAUCCACCAUGUGUACUUGUAUCACUUGCACUCAAAGUCUUGCAGAAGUAAUUAGUCGGCUGCUUGCUAGCAGCACCCAGCUCGAUUGGAAGAAAAGGCUCCUUUUGCUCUUUGUGUCAUUGGAACCUCACGAUGAAUACAUAAUAAUUAUUUCAAUAUUGUAACCUACAUAACCUGUUAUCAGAAUCCAGGCUACAAGAAGAGAGAAAUGUGAUUAAUACCGGGCUCAACAGCUGUAGUGUCAUUUGGGCAUAAACUUCAUCAGUCUCUACAUCGGCCUGCAUUAGCAUCAAGAAAUGAUCUCACGGCACCUCUUAGAAGACUACAUGAUGGUCCCUUCUAUGUGUGAAGUGUAAACUUGCAUGCAUCGUUACAUUAUGAAGCUGGCAGAUCAACUGAGGGGGGAGAUUUGGAUAAUUAGGGAUUUGAGCAUCAACCUCCUUAUUAGUUGAUGCAGCAACCUACGCAAAUGUAAAAUCACUUUAGAGAACUGCACUAAAAAUGGCUUUAGAAAACUGUAAUUGGACAACAUCCAUGCAACAAAAUUGAUUCUGCAUAUAAUGACACCCUUAAUAUUUCACUAAAGCUAUGUCUCAGUAGAAUCGCAAACCAUAUGAUGUUUACAUGCUGCAUUGGGAAAAGAAUAAGAACCUCCUGAGCACUAAGGGAACAAACUAUACUUUAGCUUUAUCUUUAUAUUUUUUAAAAACAUAAUCUAUAUUGAUGGUACAAACUGAUAAAACCUACGGACCUGCUCACUAUGACCCUGUGGAAAAUAGAUGACUCGGCUUCCAACCGCGGGCAGAGACACGAGGGGCCCAGCGCAUGCAUGCCAUAGCUCCGAGUUCAGACACCUUUGCUCCCCUGAAAGGUUCCAAGCACAAAUGAGCNUAUCGGCGAGGUGGGUGAGGUUGGCAAGACCGUCGGGCUCGUCGCCGCUCGCCGCUGCUGCCUUGCGAGUCCUCUAUGUUUCUGCUCUCUACGAAGACUCUCCUGGUUGUUGUGGUGGCUCCUGGACCCCUCCCAUCCGCGUGUCCACAGCCAGAGC